rnacentral:rRNA from 1 species
UCCUCCAAGGCUAAAUACUCCUGACUGACCGAUAGUGAACCAGUACCGUGAGGGAAAGGCGAAAAGAACCCCGGCGAGGGGAGUGAAAAAGAACCUGAAACCGUGUACGUACAAGCAGUGGGAGCACAGGUUUACCUGUGUGACUGCGUACCUUUUGUAUAAUGGGUCAGCGACUUAUAUUCUGUAGCAAGGUUAACCGCAUAGGGGAGCCGGAGGGAAACCGAGUCUUAAUUGGGCGUUAAGUUGCAGGGUAUAGACCCGAAACCCGGUGAUCUAGCCAUGGGCAGGUUGAAGGUUGGGUAACACUAACUGGAGGACCGAACCGACUAAUGUUGAAAAAUUAGCGGAUGACCUGUGGCUGGGGGUGAAAGGCCAAUCAAACCGGGAGAUAGCUGGUUCUCCCCGAAAGCUAUUUAGGUAGCGCCUCGUGAAUUCAUCUCCGGGGGUAGAGCACUGUUUCGGCUAGGGGGCCAUCCCGGCUUACCAACCCGAUGCAAACUGCGAAUACCGGAGAAUGUUAUCACGGGAGACACACGGCGGGUGCUAACGUCCGUCGUGAAGAGGGAAACAACCCAGACCGCCAGCUAAGGUCCCAAAGUCAUGGUUAAGUGGGAAACGAUGUGGGAAGGCCCAGACAGCCAGGAUGUUGGCUUAGAAGCAGCCAUCAUUUAAAGAAAGCGUAAUAGCUCACUGGUCGAGUCGGCCUGCGCGGAAGAUGUAACGGGGCUAAACCAUGCACCGAAGCUGCGGCAGCGACACUAUGUGUUGUUGGGUAGGGGAGCGUUCUGUAAGCCUGUGAAGGUGUGUCGUGAGGCAUGCUGGAGGUAUCAGAA